GGCAAUUCAUUUGGGUCCCCUUGCCGUUCUGUGGGAGGUUUGUUCUUUUGCUCUUUGCAAUAACUUGCUGCUGCUUACUUUUUGGGUCCACACUGCUUUUAUGGGCUGUAACACUCACGACGAAGGUCUGCAGCUUCACUUCUGAAGCCAGCGAGACCACGAACCCACCGGGAGAGAACGAACAACUCCAGACGCACCGCCUUAAAAGCUGUAACACUCCCCGAGAGGGUCCGCGGCUUCAUUCUUGAAGUCAGUGAGACCAAGAACCCACCAAUUCCGGACACGAUAGUGCUGCCAAACCAGCCUGGAAAACGCGGCCUUCUGGACUUCUUGUACCGUGCGACUCCAGUCCCUGACCCCACCAGGAAAAGGCAGAGGCACCUGAUUUCCCCGCACCUGUGGAGCUGCAGGGGGUGUCUGGGUCUCCAACUCCAGUGGGGAAUGAUGUUCAACUUCCUGUUACACUGGGAUCCACCUGUGGGUGAGAAUGAAGGGCUUGGAGCCUUGACCCUGGAUGGAGACAUGUCUUCCCUUUCACAGGAGAUCAUAAAACCAGAGCUGACAGCAAAGAUGGUCCUUCCUGAGAACUUUGGCUCCCAGGUGUCUGAGACUGCAGGAAAGUUAACCAGCAAUAGCGUUGGGGCUAGGGAAGGGCAAAGCUCUCGGAGACCUUGAGAGUGAAGCUUGGAAGUCCCCACCUUCAUUCGAGCCUCUGGCUCAGGCUGGGAGAGAAGAUGGAGUCGGUCCUGGAAGGUUCGGUGGUGAAAGAGGAUGACAGGACAUUUCCAAAUCAUCAUAGGAAAGUGCUUUGUCUUUUUCCAGUGCACUUCCCACCAUCUGACAUAGUUUGCGUGUCACACAUGGCCUUCGGUUGGAUUCUUCUGGAAGCUGACUCUGAGAGUGGGCAUGACUCAGUUCACCUGGAGAAGUCCCCAGGAAGCUCGGGCAAGACGGUGGGGAGGGAAAUGGGAAGGAAAAAAUGCCCUUUCUGGUGGGAUAAGUAGGAGGUGCCCACGGUGGGCUGCUGGUGCUCAGCUGCACUGGAGACCUCAUGGAGACGCUUAGGAGCAGCAUCAGAGGACUGCACUGGAGAGGCGGGGAAGCCAGGUCUGCUCCCCGCCAGCUUCCGUUCACCCAGGGCAGCUUCCCAGGACUCCACUCCCAGGCCACACAGGCUCCUGCAGCCUGAGGAGGAGCCGCAGGAGAGCAGGGGCAGCAAGAAGCCAUCGCAGGGCAAAGACUCUGAGGCCUGCGGGACCCAGGCGGCACCACCAGCUUCUGCUUUGUGCACUGUCUUGGGCUGUCACCUGCUUGUCCUCUGUCCCUCUGUGGGUCGUGAGCUCCCUGAAGCCAGGGGUCUUUGUUUUGUUCUUUGCUGUGGCCAGAGACUACAAUCGUUCCUGGUGCACAGUCGGCCCUGCUUAAAUAUGCACUGAGUGAGUGACGCCUCCUGGGUCCACCUCUGCAGCCUUCUGAAGUGAAUAUUUGGCAUCUCUAAAGAACCCAGAUCCCAGGCAAAGUCACCCCUAAUUUGGCUGUUGCAGACUCCACCUCCUGCUGCUUCUGGGCUGACUCUGAAGCCUGUUGCUACUGUCUGCAGCCAAGUUGGCUUUUCCAACAGCAGCAGCAAUGGAGAGGGGCUCAGACUACUGAUAAAAGCUCCCUUUACACCAGGUGCUUUUCCAAUGCUUCUACAGCGCCUUUUGAUGUUGCAGUCACGAAUCCUGAUGGCAGAGUGACGAUAGUGGUCCCUAUUUCGUCCGAUGUCUCACUUGAUAGGACGACCAAGAGUCCACAAAUCGUUCCUGAGUAUACCUCUAACAACAGAUUUUUUCCUAAACGGUUCCACCUGGUUUGAUCAGGAAGAAGAAACAACAGAUACGUGUAUUUUCAUUUCUUCCUUCAGUGGAGGAGUCACAGUUGUUUUGGAAGCUGUCCAAGUGCCAGAGACCCCGGACACAGAUUCCUGAGCAUCCUUCCCAUCCUUCCCAUCCUUGAAGGCAAAUCAUCCAUCUCUGUAUCUGUAACUCCAGCACAGGUCUGGACGGGGCAGAGCUCAAAGCAAGGAGUGUCUGUGGACCAGUGUCUGUACCACCCAGGUGAAGUGAGACGAGCCUGUGUCGCUGGCCUGCAGAAGGGCCACAGUCUGCCCGAGUCUGCUUCUUCCCUGGGGAGGUGCAGGCCGAAUGCCGUGGCCAGGAUUGCUACAGAGGGAGGCUCUGCCCAGCUCAUUACAGCCGGAGUGAGGCUUGAGAUGUCUGUUCACUGCUCGUGUUGAGCUUGAGCACUUGGUUAAAGUGCUGGCCAUCAGAUUUCUCUAUUGCAAAGGAUCAUUUUUCCCUUGUGUAAUUGCCAAGCAACAUAUGCGGUGAUGCUUUGGGACCUUAUGGAUAUCCUGUUCUUCAAAAUCUGUCCCCCAAUGGUUUUGGCAUCCACAGAUGGUCCUCAAAUGAGUCAAUUGUAACAUUUUCAAAUUCCGUCAUUCUUCAUAUAUAUCAGCUGCUGUUAUUCUGUAAAGAAUUCUUCCUGGCUCCAAUCAGCUUUUUUUAGUAUCACUAUGAACUCAUAGAUCCUUUUUUAAAAAAUUCAGUGUGUUCAUUCUUGCUCCCAUAUAUUUUUGAUGCUCAAAUACUUCUACAUUUGUCCAUUGAAAGUCCUCUGACUAUAGCUUCUGUUUCCUUUUGACCAAUUUCCAUCAUCUUUUGAGCACUUCUUGGCUUUCUGGUACAAUACGACUGGCUGGAAUCUUCAAAGAAGUCAACAUCCCAAGAGAUGAAAUGAUGGACUCGCUGCUUGACAUUGCAGGGAAUGAAAGAAUCAUGUCAAGCCAUGCAGUGUGGUCCUAGAUUGGAUGCUAAAUUGAAAAUAAAAGCUCUCACUUUGGACUGUA